rnacentral:rRNA from 1 species
GAUGAACGCUAGCGGCAGGCUUAACACAUGCAAGUCGAGGGGUAGAAGGAGCUUGCUCCUUUGAGACCGGCGCACGGGUGCGUAACGCGUAUGCAAUCUACCUUUUGCAGAGGGAUAGCCCAGAGAAAUUUGGAUUAAUACCUCAUAGUAUGUGAGGAUGGCAUCAUUUUCACAUUAAAGUCACAACGGCAAAAGAUGAGCAUGCGUCCCAUUAGCUAGUUGGUAAGGUAACGGCUUACCAAGGCUACGAAUGGGUAGGGGGUCCUGAGAGGGAGAUCCCCCACACUGGUACUGAGACACGGACCAGACUCCUACGGGAGGCAGCAGUGAGGAAUAUUGGACAAUGGCGCAAGCCUGAUCCAGCCAUGCCGCGUAGCAGGAUGACGGUCCUAUGGAUUGU